UUGAAGACGCCUCGGGCGGGGGUGGGAAAAAAGCCAAACCGGAUCGCGCAGCCCAGAGGCGGGAGGGAGAGGCACUUCAGCCCCAGGCUGGCGAAAGACUGCCAUGUCCAGACGGAAGCUGAGGCUUUAGCAUAAGUUGUGGAAUGAAAACUGCCUGCUGAAGAAACCAGAACCUACCUACAACAGACAGAUAACACAAAAGGAAGAUUUUGGUGGCAACCUAAGGACAUUUGAACUGAAGCUGAUGUUAGCAUGAAACAGGAACUAAUAAACUGUUCUUUGGCCAGCAUCCU